rnacentral:rRNA from 1 species
CAACAUGAGAGUUUGAUCCUGGCUCAGAACGAACGCUGGCGGCAUGCCUAACACAUGCAAGUCGAACGUGAAGCCGUCCUUCGGGAUGGUGGAAAGUGGCGCACGGGUGAGUAACGCGUGGGAACCAACCCAAGAGUGAGGAAUAACUACUGGAAACGGUAGCUAAUACCGCAUACGCCCAUCUCUUUAUUGAGUUGGGGAAAGAUUUAUCGCUGUUUGAUGGUCCCGCGUCCGAUUAGCUUGUUGGUAA